UACGUAGGGUGCAAGCGUUAAUCGGAAUUACUGGGCGUAAAGCGUGCGCAGGCGGUUAUGUAAGACAGUUGUGAAAUCCCCGGGCUCAACCUGGGAACUGCAUCUGUGACUGCAUAGCUAGAGUACGGUAGAGGGGGAUGGAAUUCCGCGUGUAGCAGUGAAAAUGCGUAGAUAUGCGGAGGAACACCGAUGGCGAAGGCAAUCCCCUGGACCUGUAC
rnacentral:rRNA from 1 species